rnacentral:lncRNA from 1 species
GGCCCCUACCAUGGACUCCAUGAAGUAGAUAAUAUAUAUCAUACUCAGUUGCUCUCCUCCAAUUAGUUUGAUGUUGAAAUCGGGAUUUUCAAGCAGCUUUUCGUCUUUUCCAUCAUCAUUGGGUAUUCCCCACUUUAAUGCCUUGGAUGAAAUUUGGGAGAAUUUUGGCCCACUUUGAAUCCAAUUUAUCUUUUUGCUUUGUGAAUGUAUAC